rnacentral:rRNA from 1 species
UACGUAGGGGGCAAGCGUUGUCCGGAAUCAUUGGGCGUAAAGCGAGCGUAGGCGGCCCGAUAAGUCUGCUGUAAAAGUCAACGGCUCAACCGUUGAACGCCGGUGGAUACUGUCGGGCUAGAGUUCGGAAGAGGCAAGUGGAAUUCCUGGUGUAGCGGUGGAAUGCGCAGAUAUCAGGAGGAACACCUAUAGCGAAGGCAGCUCGCUGGGACGUUACUGACACUGAGGCGCGAAAGCGUGGGGAGCGAACAGG